GAACGGACGCUUCGGUAGCUGGCGUAAUCCGAGGCGCAACUCCCGCUACAAUCAAUUUCGAAUUCUUUGUACGGUUCUGUCUCAACUGUUCAUUCUUUUUUUACGGCCACGAUCUCGCCAUCAAUUUUUGUCUUAUAUGCGACAUUAAUUAGGUCAUCUUAAUUACCACCGUUUCUUCAUCAUUAUCGCCGAUCUCGGGAAACGAUUUUGACGCGACGUCUCCUUUUCUUCUUCGCCAAGCUCCAUCUUCUCUAGUUGCUUUUUAACUCAGGCAUCGUCUUCUUCGCCUUCUUUUUACUUUUCCUCAUUUUCUCCGAUCUCCAUCUCUUAUCUACAGCUUGGCCCACUUCCUUUUUCUUUUCGAUCCUUAGGAUUUUUCUUCACUCUUUAGCAAUGGUGCCGCUUCCGCCUCUUCCUUCUUCUUCGUCCUUAGAUUAUAACAUACUUAGACAGUUCGUCGAAUCGGACCCUUCUCGAUUCAUUUUAGGUCUUUCUUUCACAGACGAACUGACCCCUGACAAUUUCUUAUUUUUCAGUGAUGGUCUUCCAUUGAUAGCCAAAACCAUCCAUCUCCAUUCUUGGUACUCAU
rnacentral:lncRNA from 1 species